rnacentral:misc_RNA from 1 species
GAUGAAGAACGUAGCGAAAUGCGAUAAGUAAUGUGAAUUGCAGAAUUCAGUGAAUCAUCGAAUCUUUGAACGCACCUUGCACCCUUUGGCAUUCCGAAGGGUAUGCUCGUUUGAGUGUCAUUGUACUCUCACACUCCCAAUUGCUUUGGAUUGGGAGCGGUGGACUUGGGUGUUGCUGCUUGACUGAGGCUCACCUGAAAUAUGUUAGUGCACCUCUUGAUUGGACAUAGUACGGCGUGAUAAGUGUCUUCGCCGGCUCCUCGCAAAGAGGGUGGCCGAUCGGGAGCUCUGUUGCUUCAAACUGUCUUCGGACAAUCUUCUGGCGACUUGACCUCAAAUCGAGUAGGACUACCCGCUGAACUUAAGCAUAUCAAGCGGAGGA